UUGAAAAGAGUUACACAGAAGAAGGUAUUGAAAAGAGUUACACAGAAGAAGGUAUUGAAAAGAGUUACACAGAAGAAGGUAUUGAAAAGAGUUACACAGAAGAAGGUAUUGAAAAGAGUUACACAGAAGAAGGUAUUGAAAAGAGUUACACAGAAGAAGGAAUUGAAAAGAGUAACACAGAAGAAG